UCGCUGUCUUGCGACCAUUACCCGGAAAUUCGCAGUUUCUAAUGCCGGGAUGUAACUAGUAUUUUUCAGUCCAGCCCAUCCUUGCCUUAUUUUGUUUACAUUGUUACGUUACUUAAUUUCUAUAGAAACUUACACUAUAUUUUCAUAAAAGUGUCACCUUUCCGCUCUUUCAGAUGUGUGUUUCCCGUAAAUUGGACAGAUGUCCCUGGUAUGAAGGGUAAUCUCUAAGCCAUCACUCCACCUGCUUGUUUUAGUCUUGUUUCGAGUUUUCAGUAAUCACUAAAGUGAGUAAGGCUUUUCUGUUGUCUCAAAAAAUACUGCAAUUGUUUAUGGUCCACUCCUUAACAAUGUUGCAUCUAUUUAAUAUCGCUGCAUCAUUCUUUUAAAAAUGUAAUAUACUGAUUACUUCCCUUAUAAUGUGCGGGCUUUACCACACUCUUACAUUUUACGCUUAUUGCUUAAAGACUGCGUUUUGAACGCACGUAUGUUCACUGAUUUCUUCCAAGAGAUGUACGGUAUUAGACGGAAACACAGUUAAACGGCAACUUUUGCUACCCGAGGAACUAAUGACGUUUCUUCAUUUCUGGUGAGAGAAGAUAUAAAAAUAAAAAAAAAAAAUGUACAUGUUUUUCGAAAUUACUGAUUAUUGAAUAGAGGAAGACAUGCAGUAUUGACAGUUGCCUUCACAGAACAUUUGGUGUCUUCUUUUCCGAGUCUGCACAUAUGUCCUAAUUUCAUGUGGGGUUUUGCACGGUGUGCCAGUUUCCCUCCACACUUGAAAGACGU